GAGGGGAUAGCUCAAGUGGUAGAGCACAUGCUUAGCAUGCAUGAGGUCCUAGGUUCAAUCCCCAGUACCUCUU
rnacentral:tRNA from 1 species